CUGUUCUUCAGCAGCACCGUCAUAGACGUGACGCAUUUAGCAAUAAUUAGGGGCCUCGCACAGAACCAUCAUCUACCAUUAGCAUAUUAAUGAUAUUGGCAAGACAUGAAUCCUCCAUACUCUCUCAAUCUACUAAUUAUUCCUGACAAGCCAUGUUUUACAGAUUUCAUUGUGUCAGACCACCCGCUAUAAUUACUGAUUUCACUCUUUCCCCGCCGCAUGGUCUGGGAACCAUUCAUUGAACAACAUAGCAGCGGGUUUCUGCAGCAAUACUUUUGAUUGGUCGUUAUGAAUACUGUGUGUCCAGUAUUGAAUAUAUCUUUCUUAUUAGCGUCCAGCUAGGAUCUGUAACUACAAGACUGUGCAAAGCUCUGGUUCUCCGCUAACCGUGACUGUGCAUAGCCAGUGCUGCACCAAUGGGACCCAUCCGCUUCACCACACCGCUAACCGUGAGGAACACAAUUCACAGGACUGACAAAUCACUGCAGUGUUUCUUAGUAACACCGUGCGGUGCGGGUCACACUUAUUUUACCAUCGCCGCGGUCAUCUCAAGUGAUUAUGGAAAAGAUAAAGUCUUUCAUUCAUGUCGGAAGAGGGUUUGUGACUUGCUCGCAGUCUCACUGUUGGCUCAGGAAGUGACUUUUGUGUUCCGUACUAGGAUGAACUCAUCAUUUGUGCAAACGUUUUGUAGCUAUUACAGUGACCUGUCACCUACUCACAGUGGAUGCAAUAAUGUUGUGGGUUGAACCAAUAUGCAUGAGAAUACAGACUUCCCACUAAUUAUGUCACUAGUGACUGGAUAGGCUGCGCUUUCAGUGAUGUCACUGGCUCCUAGUGACUGGAUAGGCUGUGCUCCCAGUGAUGUCACUGGCUCCUAGUGACUGGUUAGGCUGCACUCUCAGUGAUGUCACUGGCUCCUAGUGACUGGAUAGGCUGCACUCUCAGUGAUGUCACUGGCUCCUAGUGACUGGAUAGGCUGCACACUCAGUGAUGUCACUGGCUCCUAAUAACUGGAUAGGCUGCACUCAGUGAUGUCAUUGGCUCCUAGUGACUGGAUAGGCUGCACUCUCAGUGAUGUCACGGGCUCCUAGUGACUGGAUAGGCUGCGCUCUCAGUGAUGUCACUGGCUCUUAGUGACUGGAUAGGCUGCACUCUCAGUGACAUCACUGGCUCUUAGUGACUGGAUAGGCUGCACUCUCAGUGACAUCACUGGCUCUUAGUGACUGGAUAGGCUGCGCUCUCAGUGACGUCACUGGCUCUUAGUGACUGGAUAGGCUGCACUCUCAGUGACGUCACUGGCUCCUAGUAACUGGAUGGGCCGCGUUCUCAGUGACGUCACUGGCUCCUAGUGACUGGAUAGGCCGCAUUCCUAGGCAAUUGGUUUAACCCAUACACAUAGCUUUCUCAACUUCCUGAAGAAAAUAGGUGGACUAUAAAACUUUUAGCCGACCAUGUACUUUUGAAAAGUGCUUGCUUUUGCUUUAAUUCUCUGUAUACUGUAUUGAAUAUUUAUUUCAGCAUAUCUGCAAAAUGUCAUGUUUCACAAUAAAAGAUAUUGCACAUUUGUUAAUCUGUUGUAGGAUUUAUCAGGACUCACUGAGAAAGAUGAAUUGAAAUAAAUUACUCUUUGGAAGUUU